ensembl:snRNA U1 U1 spliceosomal RNA
AUAUUAACUGGUAGGGGAGAUACCAUGAUCACCAAGGUGAUUUUCCAAGGGAUGUCCUGACACCUGCAAUUUCCCCAAAUGUGGGAAAUUUGACAGCAUAAUUGUGGUAGUGGGGGACUGUGUUCAUGCUCUCCCCUA